rnacentral:tRNA from 1 species
GCUCUCGUCGUUCAACGGAUAGGACACAGCUUUGCGGAAGCUGCAAUGUAGGUUCGAUUCCUGCCGAGAGCA